UUGAGUAGCCAAUCAGAAUGUAGGAUUUGUAAUAGACAAUAGUCAGGUGUAUACUAAUUUCGGAUAGUAAACGGAGCCAGCAGACCUAAUUGAUCAAAUUGAUCAGACUGCAACACCGGCGGAGUGCUUUGUUACAGGAAGCAUUUUGACGAAGUCCGUUAAUUUACCUAAAUCAUACUAGAAAACAUCGUUUUCAGUAUCCCAUGGUAUUCCCAGGAUAUUAACCGAUAAAUGUUCAACUUCUGCUGUUGAUAUGUUACUUCUUGAUCGUUAUGUUCUGCAGUGUUUGGAAAGCAUUCGCAAGUUAAAUGAUGGUCGGUUCCAAACAACAAACCUGUUGCUCGCUAAUUUCAACCUAUUCAAUACCACACUCGUUCUCGAGGGGUUCCACGAUCUGUGGUAACACCUCUUCACACGCUUUUGUAUGUUGUUUCCUUCUGUACGAAGCCCGAAUCCACCGUCUGUGAUUAUUUCUUUUGACAUAUCGUAAAUUUUGAUUGUUUGAUCAUCCGCCAAGUUCAGUCAUCAAUAACUCGCAAAUGUUGCUGUUGCUUGAAGACAUUCAGAAUAUUCUUUCAUAAGUUCGGUCCUUCAACGGAUUAUGCGUGUGUCGUAGUCUACUCAUACACAGGAUGAAUACUCACUCGCGAUCGGUCCCUUCAAUGAAGAAAACGAGGAUUUGAACUUGUCAAAUCGUUGUAAGUUUUUUGUUUUAUGAACUGCAUUUUCGAAAGCCCCACAAAAUGUACGAUUAAUUCGUAACAACACCUUGAAGUUUAUACAAAGGCAGUUUCGAGGUCGAAAAGAACAGCGUUUUUCUUAGAAUCGAAUUUGCGAUGAAUUUGUUGGCAAUUGGCUGGUACAUAUACGUCUUCACAUCCUCAGUCAGUUCUUAUUUACUCGCUAAAGUCUACUUGAUGACUCUCUUGUGCUAUUUCUUUCAAUCAAUUUUUUUCUCAGUUAUUUUACCCAAGUUUUUGAGAUUCUGUAAUUUGGCACUCAAUGUUGUUAACUCCACACAAAUUGUUUCUUUGCUAAGUCGUCCCCGUUUUGUAACUCCAUGCAUGAUUUCUAGAUCGAAUUGGGCACCAUGCAAUAGAACUUUAUACACAAAAAAAGAAAAAUUCAAAAGAACACAAACAAAAAUUAGGCAAAUUAAAAUCCUAGAUGUACAGUGUACUACACAGGCUUUUCAAAAGUCAUACUGUAGGUUCGAUAAAUGUUGUUCGUCAAAAGACCACCAUGUUUUCACUGUGGAAUGUUCCUACCUAAACUACUGUUCUUUUCACAAGUAGCUAAUUCCUUUCACUUUUUUUAUUAAUUAGUAUAGGUAUUAACGAGAUUUUUGCUCCAACAAUUUGUGAUUAAAUAGGAAUGAUGUUUGAAAAUUUUUCCAAAAUUGGACGUGCCAUCGACACGACUGACUGUGUCACAGUACAUUCCUAGUACUGCAAAUCAUUUUGUUUGACUGUUUCAUGCACAGAAUGUUCAUACUUCCACUGCAAAGAGUUGAUUGGUGUAUGGAACAUGUGAGAAAUCCCUUUGACGUACACUAACACAUAAAAGACCACUAUUAAGCAAACGUUGACGGAAAGAUUUUUAAUGAUGCAUUUGACUGACUGUGUCACAGUACAUUCCUACUACUGCAAAUCAUUUUG